rnacentral:rRNA from 1 species
UACGGGGGGGGCAAGCGUUGUUCGGAAUUACUGGGCGUAAAGAGCUCGUAGGCGGUUUGUCGCGUCGAAUGUGAAAACCCGGGGCUCAACCCCGGGCCUGCAUUCGAUACGGGCAGACUAGAGUUCGGUAGGGGAGUCUGGAAUUCCUGGUGUAGCGGUGAAAUGCGCAGAUAUCAGGAGGAACACCGGUGGCGAAGGCGGGACUCUGGGCCGAUACUGACGCUGAGGAGCGAAAGCGUGGGGAGCAAACAGG